rnacentral:rRNA from 1 species
UACGAAGGUGGCAAGCGUUGUUCGGAUUUACUGGGCGUAAAGGGCUCGUAGGCGGCCAACUAAGUCGGAUGUGAAAUCCCCAGGCUUAACCUGGGAACUGCAUCCGAUACUGGAUGGCUUGAAUCCGGGAGAGGGAUGCAGAAUUCCAGGUGUAGCGGUGAAAUGCGUAGAUAUCUGGAGGAAUACCGGUGGCGAAGGCGGCAUCCUGGACCGGCAUUGACGCUGAGGAGCGAAAGCUAGGGGAGCAAACGGG